CGGAUCCAUCCUCAGUCCAUCCUGACCUGUAGGUAAACCAUUAAAGAUUGCGGUGCAGAUCAGACAUUGGAAGCUAUCUCAAAAAUUGGAUGCAACAUCUGGCUGAAACGAUUCCAGGAACAGCAGGAAGCAUCUGAGGUUGGGUGUGGAUCCCUGUCAUCUGGGAAUGCAGUGACAGCUGUAUGGGAAGUGCCUUUUGAAGUUUGGAGCAAGAGCAGGCCACUCCCAGAAGAAGGUGGAGGCACUCCAGGAACCAGAGAUGGAGGCUCUUCUGCAGACGCAUCUGGAAUUUUGUAGAACUGGAAGGUGGAGUGAGUG